UAGGGAAUCUUCGGCAAUGGACGAAAGUCUGACCGAGCAACGCCGCGCGAGUGAAGAAGGUUUUCGGAUCGUAAAACUCUGUUGUUAGAGAAGAACAAGGACGUUAGUAACUGAACGUCCCCUGACGGUAUCUAACCAGAAAGCCACGGCUAACUACGUGCCAGCAGCCGCGGUAAUACGUAGGUGGCAAGCGUUGUCCGGAUUUAUUGGGCGUAAAGCGAGCGCAGGCGGUUUCUUAAGUCUGAUGUGAAAGCCCCCGGCUCAACCGGGGAGGGUCAUUAGAAACUGGGAGACUUGAGUGCAGAAGAGGAGAGUGGAAUUCCAUGUGUAGCGGUGAAAUGCGUAGAUAUAUGGAGGAACACCAGUGGCGAAGGCGGCUCUCUGGUCUGUAACUGACGCUGAGGCUCGAAAGCGUGGGGAGCAAACAGG
rnacentral:rRNA from 1 species